rnacentral:rRNA from 1 species
UACGUAGGGACCGAGCGUUGUCCGGAUUCAUUGGGCGUAAAGAGCUCGUAGGCGGCCACUCAAGUCGAAUGUGAAACCUCGAGGCUUAACCUCGAGCCUGCAUUCGAUACUGGGCGGCUAGAGUCUGGUAGGGGGAUCUGGAAUUCCUGGUGUAGCGGUGGAAUGCGCAGAUAUCGGGAGGAACACCAAUGGCGAAGGCAGCUCGCUGGGACGUUACUGACGCUGAGACGCGAAAGCGUGGGGAGCAAACAGG